UACGGAGGAUGCAAGCGUUAUCCGGAUUUAUUGGGUUUAAAGGGUGCGCAGGUUGUUUGAUAAGUCAGUGGUGAAAGUCUGUCGCUUAACGGUAGGAUUGCCAUUGAUACUGUUGGACUUGAAUAUGGAUGAGGUAGGCGGAAUGUGUAGUGUAGCGGUGAAAUGCAUAGAUAUUACACAGAACACCGAUUGCGAAGGCAGCUUACUAAUCCAUCAUUGACGCUGAGGCACGAAAGCGUGGGGAUCAAACAGGAUUAGAUACCCUGGUAGUCCACGCCGUAAACGAUGAUCACUCGCUGUUUGCGAUAUACAGUAAGCGGCUAAGCGAAAGCGUUAAGUGAUCCACCUGGGGAGUACGAUCGCAAGGUUGAA
rnacentral:rRNA from 1 species